rnacentral:rRNA from 1 species
AUUGAACGCUGGCGGCAGGCUUAACACAUGCAAGUCGAGCGAGCGGCGGACGGGUGAGUAAUGUCUGGGAAACUGCCUGAUGGAGGGGGAUAACUACUGGAAACGGUAGCUAAUACCGCAUACCAUCAGAUGUGCCCAGAUGGGAUUAGCUAGUAGGUGGGGUAAUGGCUCACCUAGGCGACGAUCCCGAGCUGGUCUGAGAGGAUGACCAGCCAAGCGGGAACUGUGACACGGGCCAGAGUCUGACGGGAGGCAGCAGUGGGGAAUAUUGCACGAUGGGGGCAAGCCUGAUGCAGCCAUGCCGCGUGUGUGAAGAAGGCCUUCGGGUUGUAAAGCACUUGCAGCGAGGAGUCGUUACUCGCAGAAGAAGCACCGGCUAACGCCGUGCCAGGAGCCGCGGUAAUUG